rnacentral:rRNA from 1 species
AGAGUUUGAUCAUGGCUCAGGAUGAACGCUAGCGGCAGGCUUAAUACAUGCAAGUCGUGGGGCAGCGCGGGUAGCAAUACCUGGCGGCGACCGGCAAACGGGUGCGGAACACGUACGCAACCUUCCUUUAAGCGGGGAAUAGCCCAGGGAAACUUGGAUUAAUACCCCAUAAGACAGUGGAGUGGCAUCACUCAGCUGUUAAAGCUCCGGCACUUAAAGAUGGGCGUGCGGCUGAUUAGGUAGUUGGCGGGGUAACGGCCCACCAAGCCGACGAUCAGUAACUGGUGUGAGAGCACGACCAGUCACACGGGCACUGAGACACGGGCCCGACUCCUACGGGAGGCAGCAGUAAGGAAUAUUGGUCAAUGGACGCAAGUCUGAACCAGCCAUGCCGCGUGGAGGAUGAAGGCCCUCUGGGUUGUAAACUUCUUUUAUUGGGGAAGAAACCUGACUUUUCUAAGGCAGUUGACGGUACCCGAUGAAUAAGCACCGGCUAACUCCGUGCCAGCAGCCGCGGUAAUACGGAGGGUGCAAGCGUUAUCCGGAUUCACUGGGUUUAAAGGGUGCGUAGGUGGGCAGGUAAGUCAGUGGUGAAAUCUCUGGGCUUAACCCAGAAACUGCCGUUGAUACUAUCUGUCUUGAAUAUAGUGGAGGUGAGCGGAAUAUGUCAUGUAGCGGUGAAAUGCUUAGAUAUGACAUAGAACAUCGAUUGCGAAGGCAGCUCGCUACACUAUCAUUGACACUGAGGCACGAAAGCGUGGGGAUCAAACAGGAUUAGAUACCCUGGUAGUCCACGCCCUAAACGAUGGAUACUCGACAUCAGCGAUACACUGUUGGUGUCUGAGCGAAAGCAUUAAGUAUCCCACCUGGGAAGUACGACCGCAAGGUUGAAACUCAAAGGAAUUGACGGGGUCCGCACAAGCGGUGGAGCAUGGUGGUUUAAUUCGAUGAUACGCCGAAGGAACCUUA